rnacentral:rRNA from 1 species
GACGAACGCUGGCGGCGUGCUUAACACAUGCAAGUCGAACGGUGAAGCCUAGCUUGCAGGGUGGAUUAGUGGCGAACGGGUGAGUAAUACGUGAGUAAUCUACCCUUAACUCUGGGAUAAGCCCGGGAAACUGGGUCUAAUACCGGAUAGGACCAAUCUCCGCAGGGGGGGUUGGUGGAAAGUGUUGUGUUGUGGUGAUGGAUGGGCCCAUGGCCUAUCAGGUGGUGGUGGGGGGAACGGCUCCCCAAGGGGACGACGGGGAGCCGGCCGGGGGGGGUGACCGGCCACACUGGGCCUGGGACACGGCCCAGACUCCUCCGGGGGGCAGCAGUGGGGAAUAUUGCACAAUGGGGCCAGCCCUGAUGCAGCGACGCCGCGUGAGGGAUGACGGCCUUCGGGUUGUAACCCUCUUUUAGCAGGGAAGAAGAGAUUUUGACGGUACCUGCAGAGAAAGCGCCGGCUAACUACGUG